UUAAGCGACUAAGCGUACACGGUGGAUGCCCUGGCAGUCAGAGGCGAUGAAGGACGUGCUAAUCUGCGAUAAGCGCCGGUAAGGUGAUAUGAACCGUUAUAACCGGCGAUUUCCGAAUGGGGAAACCCAGUGUGAUUCGUCACACUAUCAUUAACUGAAUCCAUAGGUUAAUGAGGCGAACCGGGGGAACUGAAACAUCUAAGUACCCCGAGGAAAAGAAAUCAACCGAGAUUCCCCAGUAGCGGCGAGCGAACGGGGAGGAGCCCAGAGCCUGAAUCAGCAUGUGUGUUAGUGGAAGCGUCUGGAAAGGCGCGCGAUACAGGGUGACAGCCCCGUACACAAAAGCGCAUGUGCUGUGAGCUCGAUGAGUAGGGCGGGACACGUGGUAUCCUGUCUGAAUAUGGGGGGACCAUCCUCCAAGGCUAAAUACUCCUGACUGACCGAUAGUGAACCAGUACCGUGAGGGAAAGGCGAAAAGAACCCCGGCGAGGGGAGUGAAAAAGAACCUGAAACCGUGUACGUACAAGCAGUGGGAGCACCCUUCGGGGUGUGACUGCGUACCUUUUGUAUAAUGGGUCAGCGACUUAUAUUCUGUAGCAAGGUUAACCGUAUAGGGGAGCCGGAGGGAAACCGAGUCUUAAUUGGGCGUUAAGUUGCAGGGUAUAGACCCGAAACCCGGUGAUCUAGCCAUGGGCAGGUUGAAGGUUGGGUAACACUAACUGGAGGACCGAACCGACUAAUGUUGAAAAAUUAGCGGAUGACCUGUGGCUGGGGGUGAAAGGCCAAUCAAACCGGGAGAUAGCUGGUUCUCCCCGAAAGCUAUUUAGGUAGCGCCUCGUGAAUUCAUCUCCGGGGGUAGAGCACUGUUUCGGCUAGGGGGCCAUCCCGGCUUACCAACCCGAUGCAAACUGCGAAUACCGGAGAAUGUUAUCACGGGAGACACACGGCGGGUGCUAACGUCCGUCGUGAAGAGGGAAACAACCCAGACCGCCAGCUAAGGUCCCAAAGUCAUGGUUAAGUGGGAAACGAUGUGGGAAGGCCCAGACAGCCAGGAUGUUGGCUUAGAAGCAGCCAUCAUUUAAAGAAAGCGUAAUAGCUCACUGGUCGAGUCGGCCUGCGCGGAAGAUGUAACGGGGCUAAACCAUGCACCGAAGCUGCGGCAGCGAACGUAUCACCCAAGACAACUUUACGGAGUUGACGAUUGACGGAGCGAAGCGACGUCAAAGCGUUCAUUAAAGUCGAGUUGGCUUAGGGAUACGUUCGUUGGGUAGGGGAGCGUUCUGUAAGCCUGUGAAGGUGUGUCGUGAGGCAUGCUGGAGGUAUCAGAAGUGCGAAUGCUGACAUAAGUAACGAUAAAGCGGGUGAAAAGCCCGCUCGCCGGAAGACCAAGGGUUCCUGUCCAACGUUAAUCGGGGCAGGGUGAGUCGACCCCUAAGGCGAGGCCGAAAGGCGUAGUCGAUGGGAAACGGGUUAAUAUUCCCGUACUUGGUGUUACUGCGAAGGGGGGACGGAGAAGGCUAUGUUGGCCGGGCGACGGUUGUCCCGGUUUAAGCGUGUAGGUGUGUGUUCCAGGUAAAUCCGGUUCACUUUAACACUGAGGCGUGACGACGAGGCACUACGGUGCUGAAGCAACAAAUGCCCUGCUUCCAGGAAAAGCCUCUAAGCAUCAGGUAACACGAAAUCGUACCCCAAACCGACACAGGUGGUCAGGUAGAGAAUACCAAGGCGCUUGAGAGAACUCGGGUGAAGGAACUAGGCAAAAUGGUGCCGUAACUUCGGGAGAAGGCACGCUGACACGUAGGUGAAGUGAUUUACUCAUGGAGCUGAAGUCAGUCGAAGAUACCAGCUGGCUGCAACUGUUUAUUAAAAACACAGCACUGUGCAAACACGAAAGUGGACGUAUACGGUGUGACGCCUGCCCGGUGCCGGAAGGUUAAUUGAUGGGGUCAGCGUAAGCGAAGCUCCUGAUCGAAGCCCCGGUAAACGGCGGCCGUAACUAUAACGGUCCUAAGGUAGCGAAAUUCCUUGUCGGGUAAGUUCCGACCUGCACGAAUGGCGUAAUGAUGGCCAGGCUGUCUCCACCCGAGACUCAGUGAAAUUGAACUCGCUGUGAAGAUGCAGUGUACCCGCGGCAAGACGGAAAGACCCCGUGAACCUUUACUAUAGCUUGACACUGAACAUUGAGCCUUGAUGUGUAGGAUAGGUGGGAGGCUUUGAAGUGUGGACGCCAGUCUGCAUGGAGCCGACCUUGAAAUACCACCCUUUAAUGUUUGAUGUUCUAACGUGGACCCGUAAUCCGGGUUGCGGACAGUGUCUGGUGGGUAGUUUGACUGGGGCGGUCUCCUCCUAAAGAGUAACGGAGGAGCACGAAGGUUGGCUAAUCCUGGUCGGACAUCAGGAGGUUAGUGCAAUGGCAUAAGCCAGCUUGACUGCGAGCGUGACGGCGCGAGCAGGUGCGAAAGCAGGUCAUAGUGAUCCGGUGGUUCUGAAUGGAAGGGCCAUCGCUCAACGGAUAAAAGGUACUCCGGGGAUAACAGGCUGAUACCGCCCAAGAGUUCAUAUCGACGGCGGUGUUUGGCACCUCGAUGUCGGCUCAUCACAUCCUGGGGCUGAAGUAGGUCCCAAGGGUAUGGCUGUUCGCCAUUUAAAGUGGUACGCGAGCUGGGUUUAGAACGUCGUGAGACAGUUCGGUCCCUAUCUGCCGUGGGCGCUGGAGAACUGAGGGGGGCUGCUCCUAGUACGAGAGGACCGGAGUGGACGCAUCACUGGUGUUCGGGUUGUCAUGCCAAUGGCACUGCCCGGUAGCUAAAUGCGGAAGAGAUAAGUGCUGAAAGCAUCUAAGCACGAAACUUGCCCCGAGAUGAGUUCUCCCUGAGACUUAGAGUCUCCUGAAGGAACGUUGAAGACGACGACGUUGAUAGGCCGGGUGUGUAAGCGCAGCGAUGCGUUGAGCUAACCGGUACUAAUGAACCGUGAGGCUUAACCUU
rnacentral:rRNA from 1 species